CUCCUUUGACGUUAGCGGCGGACGGGUGAGUAACACGUGGGUAACCUACCUAUAAGACUGGGAUAACUUCGGGAAACCGUAGCUAAUACCGGAUAAUAUUUCGAACCGCAUGGUUCGAUAGUGAAAGGUGGUUUUGCUAUCACUUAUAGAUGGACCCGCGCCGUAUUAGCUAGUUGGUAAGGUAACGGCUUACCAAGGCGACGAUACGUAGCCGACCUGAGAGGGUGAUCGGCCACACUGGAACUGAGACACGGUCCAGACUCCUACGGGAGGCAGCAGCC
rnacentral:rRNA from 1 species